GCCUUCAUGGUGUAGUGGUCUGGAUGCUCAGCGUGUAACCGAGAGGUCCGUGGUUCGAUUCCCGGCGAAGGCG
rnacentral:tRNA from 1 species